UACGUAUGUCACGAGUGUUAUUCGGAUUUAUUGGGCGUAAAGCGCGUCUAGGUGGUUAUAUAAGUCUGAUGUGAAAAUGCAGGGCUCAACUCUGUAUUGCGUUGGAAACUGUAUAACUAGAGUACUGGAGAGGUAAGCGGAACUACAAGUGUAGAGGUGAAAUUCGUAGAUAUUUGUAGGAAUGCCGAUGGGGAAGCCAGCUUACUGGACAGAUACUGACGCUGAAGCGCGAAAGCGUGGGUAGCAAACAGG
rnacentral:rRNA from 1 species